GACGAACCGUCCAAACGUUAUUCGGAAUCACUGGGCUUACAGAGUUCGUAGGCGGUCUGGAAAGUUGGGUGUGAAAUCCCUCGGCCUAACCGAGGAACUGCGCUUGAAACUACCAGACUCGAGGGAGAUAGAGGAAAGCGGAACUGAUGGUGGAGCGGUGAAAUGCGUUGAUAUCAUCAGGAACACCGGUGGCGAAGGCGGCUUCUGGGUCUUACCUGACGCUGAGGAACGAAAGCCAGGGGAGCGAACGGG
rnacentral:rRNA from 1 species